ACGAACGCUGGCGGCGUGCGUAAUGAAUGCGAGUCGAGCGUGAUCCGGGUUUAUCUUUCGGGAUGGCUCGGUGAAAGCGGCGAACGGGUGAGUAACACGUGGGUAACGUGCCCUGCAGACGGGGAUACCGGCGGGAAACUGUCGUUAAUACCCGAUAGGUAGUCGGUGGCAUCAUCGGCUUAUGAAAGUGUUUAGCGCUGCAGGAUCGGCCCGCGGCCGAUUAGCUUGUUGGUGUGGUAAAGGCGCACCAAGGCGACUAUCGGUAGCUGGUCUGAGAGGACGGUCGGCCACACUGGGACUGAGACAUGGUCCAGACUCCUACGGGAGUUAGCAUCAGGGAAUCUUGCGCAAUGGGCGAAAGCCUGACGCAGCGACGCCGCGUGAGGGAUGAAGGCCUGCGGGUCGUAAACCUCUGUCUGGAGGGACGAAUAACUGACGGUACCUCCGGAGGAAGCCACGGCUAAUCACGU
rnacentral:rRNA from 1 species